rnacentral:tRNA from 1 species
GGGAUGUGGCUCUGUGGUAGAGUGCUUGCCUAGCAUGCAUAAAGCCUUGGGUUCAAUCCCCAGUUCUG